UACCGUGAAAAAAUUAGAGUGUUCAAAGCAGGCAGAUCCAAUUUUCUGCCACCGAAUACAUUAGCAUGGGAUAAUGGAAUAGGACCCUGUCCUCCUAUUUUCAGUUGGUUUUGGCAGCGCGAGGACUAGGGUAAUGAUUAAUAGGGAUAGUUGGGGGCAUUAAUAUUUAAUUGUCAGAGGUGAAAUUCUUGGAUUUAUGAAAGAUUAACUUCUGCGAAAGCAUCUGCCAAGGAUGUUUUCAUUAAUCAAGAACGAAAGUUAGGGGAUCGAAGACGAUCAGAUACCGUCGUAGUCUUAACCAUAAACGAUGCCGACCAGCGAUUAGGAGACGUUGAAUACAAAACACCACCAUCGGCGCGGUCGUCCUUGGCGUCUCGGUCCUUCACGGGGCCGGGGCGCGGGGGCGGCUUAGCCCGGUGGCACCGGUGAAUGAC
rnacentral:rRNA from 1 species